GAGCGGAAAAAUAAUUGAAUUACAUUCAACGUAGCAGAGGAAUAUACUAACAUUAACAUAGUGAUACCCAAAAAAAUAUAUCUAAAAAAAAAAACUAUGGUUGUGAAUACCAGUUUCUCAUAUUCAGUCGUACAGCAGUUUUGCUGAUUGAGUUCUUGCUGUUUUGCUCUCAUUCUUCAAAACUUUCUCAACAGACUGCUCAUUUUUUGAUAUAGCUUUUGCCACUGCUUUCAUCUUUCGAACAUUUUUUGAUCUCUUCAUUGGUCUUCCCUUCACCUUUCUAUUAGGAAACCCAGAAGCUGAUUUUUGAACUACAGACUCUGAAGUAUCCAUUGCUUGAGGAACAUCUGAGACGGUGGGCUCCGUGAUGUCCAUUGAAACGGCGCCGUUCUUCUUCUUUUUGUUUCUGUUCUUCGCCAUGGCCGACUCUGAGAGGGAGUUUG
rnacentral:misc_RNA from 1 species